GCCCCUAUGGCGUAGUGGUAGCGCGUGUCACUUGUAAAACCUCCUUAAUACAAGACCAUGACAAGGUCUCUCGUUCGAUCCGGGAUGGGGGCA
rnacentral:tRNA from 2 species